GACGAACGCUGGCGGCGUGCUUAACACAUGCAAGUCGAACGAAGAGCGACGGAAGCUUGCUUCUAUCAAUCUUAGUGGCGCACGGGUGAGUAACGCGUAAUCAACCUGCCCUUCAGAGGGGGACAACAGUUGGAAACGACUGCUAAUACCGCAUACGAUCUAAUCUCGGCAUCGAGGAUGGAUGAAAGGUGGCCUCUACAUGUAAGCUAUCACUGAAGGAGGGGAUUGCGUCUGAUUAGCUAGUUGGAGGGGUAACGGCCCACCAAGGCGAUGAUCAGUAGCCGGUCUGAGAGGAUGAACGGCCACACUGGGACUGAGACACGGCCCAGACUCCUACGGGAGGCAGCAGGGGGGAAUCUUCCGCAAGGGACGAAAGUCUGACGGAGCAACGCCGCGUGAGUGAUGACGGCCGUCGGGUUGUAAAGCUCUGUUAAUCGGGACGAAAGGCCUUCUUGCGAAUAGUGAGAAGGAUUGACGGUACCGGAAUAGAAAGCCACGGCUAACUACGUG
rnacentral:rRNA from 1 species